CUGAAGCUAGCCCCACAUUGCCCAGCCUCACAUUCCAUAGUAACCACAAGGAAUUUCACACGCCCACGCAACUUCUUAACCACGAAUGUGAGGCUACAAGGAGAAUGUGAGGCUCGAUGCAAAGACCCGGGCCAAGCAGCCAGAGCCAAACUGAAUAACUUCGCUCUUUACUUGUCGUGCUCAAACUAUUCCUAGUUAUAGGCUGGCUUGAUUAACUUGAGUAUCUCUUGGUAUCUUGCUUUCUAAUAUACAAUUUACAGCUGCUUCA